rnacentral:tRNA from 1 species
ACCUGGCUGGCUAAGUAGGAGGAGCAUGUGACUCUUGAUCUUGGGGUUGUGGGUUCGAGCCCCAUGUUGGGUG